rnacentral:rRNA from 1 species
CCCAGCCCGAUAGCGCACGAGUCCCGUGGGGGAAAGUUGAAAAGCACUUUGGAGAGAGAGUUAAGAGUACCUCUUUGUGUAGAGAGGUAAGCACUUGGAGUCAUUCUUUCUGCUUGAGACUCAGCCUGGCUUUUGCUUGGUGUAUUUCUCGGUGCCAAGCCAGCAUUGGUUUGUGUCGUCGGAGAAGCGGAUUGGGAAUGUGGCGUCGUCGGAUGUGUUAUAGCCUUUUGCAGGACACGGCGACUUUGAUCACGGAACGCCCGUGUCCCAACCUGCCCGGGUCUUCGGACACCUUCC